AAGUCGUAACAAGGUCUCCGUAGGUGAACCUGCGGAAGGAUCAUUAACACGUAUCCAACGUUAAACAACCCUGUGAACCUUGAACGUGCUCUCGCACACGCUCUAGCAGCAAUCCCUGGUAAAUCAUUGUUGACCAGCUAUUGAGUCAGGGACCUCUGCUUUAAAACGAUGCGAUACGAGCGCCAGAGUAAGUGCGGCCUGGCAUCCUAGCAAUCUGUCAGUGGUUGCGCAAGGAUGGCGCAGUAAACGAUCGCUGUAGGCCCACACGGCCGGCGACCGGGCCUCUGUGCUUCGGCACCUAACGACCCCAUGUUUCGUACCCGGUGCGCUGUAACAACCGCACCACAAACUCGAACAACUGUUAACAAUGGAUAUCUUGGUUCUC
rnacentral:misc_RNA from 1 species